rnacentral:rRNA from 1 species
AUUGAACGCUGGCGGCAGGCCUAACACAUGCAAGUCGAACGGUAACAGGAAGCAGCUUGCUGCUUUGCUGACGAGUGGCGGACGGGUGAGUAAUGUCUGGGAAACUGCCCGAUGGAGGGGGAUAACUACUGGAAACGAUAGCUAAUACCGCAUAACGUCGCAAGACCAAAGAGGGGGACCUUAGGGCCUCUUGCCAUCGGAUGUGCCCAGAUGGGAUUAGCUAGUAGGUGGGGUAACGGCUCACCUAGGCGACGAUCCCUAGCUGGUCUGAGAGGAUGACCAGCCACACUGGAACUGAGACACGGUCCAGACUCCUACGGGAGGCAGCAGUGGGGAAUAUUGAACAAUGGGCGCAAGCCUGAUGCAGCCAUGCCGCGUGUAUGAAGAAGGCCUUCGGGUUGUAAAGUACUUUCAGCGGGGAGGAAGGGAGUAAAGUUAAUACCUUUGCUCAUUGACGUUACCCGCAGAAGAAGCACCGGCUAACUCCGUG